rnacentral:sRNA from 1 species
GACGCCACCCCGAGCCCCAUGUUUCAGAGCUAUGCUGGAAACAGCAUAGCAAGUUGAAAUAAGGCUAGUCCGUUAUCAACUUGAAAAAGUGGCACCGAGUCGGUGCUUUUUUU